rnacentral:lncRNA from 1 species
AUGGACGUUGAACUAACCAGAUCUCUGCAGCUAUCACAUGAAAAAGGGUUUCUUUCUUCUGGAUCCUUCAGACUUUUCCCAGCCUUGUUUACAGGUAUUUAUGAAACAAACUUCAGAGGAGCACUGGAGAUGACACAGUAUGAAACACAUCCACAGAGGAAGAAUCACCAGACAAAGGCAGCUGCACUCACAGGAACACAGACCUGGCAGGCAGCACCCCACUGCCAGGGCUGGGAGGGCUUCCAGCUCAUCUGCCUGGGCUACUCAGGUCCGCAGAGUAAGUUACUUCUCAAAAGAAGAGAUGACCUUGGUAACCUCCUACUGGAACUCUUGUGUUUCAUCUUUAACAUGAAACAGUCAAGCAGCGACAUAACCCAAGCCGCACCCAGGCAUACACGUGAGCUGAAGGCGAGAAUGGGCCUGUCCAGCACGUGGAGCUGCAAGGAGAAAAGCUUUUAAUGUCCCAUGACUGGGAGCUCACCCAGAGACCUUCCUCUGCACACAGCAGCGAUGGACCAGGCAAUUUCAAUGGGAUCAUAUGUAUACAUUUACUUAACUCCCUGUAAAACCCAAGCCUUUAGAACACAUGUGUACAGCUGUUCCAUAGGAGGCACACCUAUAUUACAGCAUGUAAUUAGUUAAUAAAUUUGAAAUCUAGAGGAGCCCA